rnacentral:misc_RNA from 1 species
UUAGACAUUGCUCUUUGGGUCAUUGCCAUAAUAAAUAAUUGUGUCACAGUCAGUGUCACGGGGAUGGUGAACCUUUAGACUUGUGUUAAAGCUGAGCACAAUUAAUAUUUCUCUCUCCUUGCCAAUAUCCCUACAACCCCUGUAUAAUAAGAUAUCAGACACAGUUCAAAGGACAUCUUUUGUGCUGUACUGAUCUUACCUGUAUAGGCAUCCAUCUUGCAAGUCUCAAUGGCAAAUUUAACUUUCUUACUCAAAGCCAGAAGGAAGGAAACAUUAAAUAUACAAAUUACUGCAUUAAAUACAAACAGAAAAUGCACAUGAAACAAACAACAAAAGCACAAAAUCAAAGACAAUAUAAUGAAGUCAACCAUGAGUUUGAAUCAAAGGGCCUAUAUUACCUUACAUUGGUGCCUAUUUUCAAAUGUGUCAUGUUCAGCUUUGCAAUUGUAUGGGACACAUCAAUGACUUUCUUUCAAGAUAAACUUUUAAAAAAGUUACAAUUUCUCAAUUUUUUUUACAGUCUUGUUGACUAUAGUCUGUCCCAAGUUAUUGCUUCCUUCAUUUUUUAAUGAUUUUUAAUAAAAUUGCACACACCUGUAAAAGAAGUAUACAGUUGAAAUUGAUGAAAUGGAAAAUAUCCAAGAUAUUUUCAUCGACAAAUUAUCCCUUUUCACUUAAACAGUUUACAGGAACGAAAAACAAAUUUCUUACAGGGAUUUAUGAUAGGAAAUCCAUAUUCGGAAGUGCUCGGGACACCUUGCGCAAUUUUUCAACGUUAUCAUUCGGGCUUAUUAAUGGAUGCAAUGCAAAAUCCCCGUAGACUUUCUAUUUUGGGAUGUAAUUUGAAACCUGAAGCGAUAGAGGGGGCGCUUGAAAACAGAUAAUCUGGAGAUUUUUCAUACUUCUGGAUGAACGUAGUUUGAGCACAAAGGUAUUUAUAAUUAUCGAAAUAUCAAGCGAAAAGUGAUGGAAGCAAAAACUCGGGACAGAGUAGACUGUAGAAUAAUAGCUUGGUUAAGACAUUAGCUUCUAUAAUCUGUAUUUCACAGUGAUUCAUGAGAUCUAAAGCUGGAUGCUUGAUCUUUAAAUUUAAAAAAAAAAAAACUAUGCUGUAUUUUUCAAAAUUCAUUUUGCCAAAUAUUGUACAAUAGGGAAAUGAUAAAGCAAUGAUUAUAUUUGGAACAUGUUGUACUUUUAUCUGCAUUGAUAACUUAUUGUGUCACUUAUCACCUUUCAUAAUGUGUUUGUCACCCUAUUGGAGACACAUCAGGAUUUAUUGCUUAAAUAUAUUUCGAAACUCGUAUGUUGGUUAUGUUUUUGUAUUGUUUCUGUUCUGAACUUGUGAAUGUUUCAGUGAAUUGCAUGCACAUGUAUGUAUAUUUACAUUAGAAUGUACCCUACUAUAUGGGUAUAAAAUGAGAUAGAAAAUCUGUGAUAUAUGAAUUUAGAAUUGUUAUGUUUAUUAUUAUGUGAGUCAUAUAUUCUACUGAUAAUAUUCUGUGAAUUUGAUCGAGUCAUGUUCUUUGCAAUUUGUUGUCAACAUGCAACUUUUAAAGUGCAAUAGAUAAUUAUACGGAAUGCAAUUACUGUUUGUUAUUUGUGGUUAAGUAUUUCGGAUUUUUGCAUUAAAAGUCAUUGAAAGGUGUU